rnacentral:rRNA from 1 species
GGGUCAGUAGGUUGGUCGUGCCACCGGUACGUACUGGUCUCACUGAUUCCUCCUUCCUGAAGAACCGUAAUACCAUUAAUUUGGUGUUGCGGGGAAACCGGACUGUUACUUUGAAAAAAUUAGAGUGUUUAAAGCAAGCUAACGCUUGAAUACAUUAGCAUGGAAUAAUGAAAUAGGACGAUCGAUCCUAUUUUGUUGGUUUCUAGGAUUGACGUA